AUAUGCAUGUAUAUAUAUAUAUAUAUAUAUAUAUAUACAGAGUACAAUUCUUCAAAAUCCUCAAAAUUACAACAGUCUGCAUUUCAGAAAAUUUUCUAUAACAUUUAAUCAAAGUUAAAAAAAAUCAAAAAUAUUUUAAGCCACUGCACCAAUAAGUGAUUAUCCAAUUCAUCCCAUUUAAAGAAAGCCUCCAUUAAUAUUGGAUGCCAGCCAUCAUGUAGAAUUGUGGAGCCAGUAAGAAGUACAAAAUAUUUCUUUUCCUAUGAUAUGAAUAAAUUUCAGAAAUUUAAGAGCAAAAUCAAAGAUAAAAUGAAAUAAAAUAUAAUACAGAUGAAAUUGCUUCUUUGAAAAUUCACUUGUUACCAUUAUGAGGAAUAACAGAAACAAGUGCUGAAUUUGCUGAGAGAAUUCUGUCAGCACUUAGGUAAUUUUUCUUUUUGAAAAUGUAGGUUUCAAAACAUCUCAUUAUUGAUACAGUCCAUUUCUUAGAAGUUUUUCAGAUUAUUUGGUAACAGAGUUAUAGGAAGAAAAAUAACUAAAAAUAUUGUAUCUUCCUUAGGUGGAAAAAAAAUCACCAUUUUAUCUUCUACUAUGAUAGCUGACAACAUUAAAAUUGUAGGGCAAAAAGAAUGAUGUGAUUCUAAGUCAUAAUCUCUUCCAAAGUCCCCUGAUUCAGAGAGCGAUAUUCAGCUUCUCACUUUCCUCAUAGCAGCCUUAUACUCAGCAACAUUUCUGUCCUGCAGGAGCUAACCUGCUCAGCAAGAGAUUUAGGUGAGACUGCCAUGGCUGGAGCAUUUCCAAAUAUCUGGUCUUCCGCUUUCGGGAACAUGAGAAAUCAUUCAUUUUGAACAGUAACAUCUGGCCCUAAAAAUGUCCAUGAUACUAAUCCAAAUAAUCAGAAAGUGACAUUGGCAUAAGUUGUAGUUUCCUGUGGCCACUCAGGAAUGUUCAGCAUUACUUGUGGGAUUACAUCUAACUGUUCAUUAGUUGUAUAUGAAUAUAAUUUGCUGUUCUCAACCAUUUCAAAACCUAAGAACAUGCUAUAGGUUUGAUAUCUGUAAAUCGAUGUUAGGAUGCUAAUCUGUAUAUAGAGACUUACAUUUCUCCUUUGAAGCCCUCCUCAAGAUGUCAUUUUAAAAAUUGCCAUUGAGCUUUAUUUAAAAAAAAACAUAAAAGACUUCAGAAAUACACUUCUAUUUUUAUCUUUCCAUAAUUAUAACAACAGAUAAAAAUAAACACAAAGGCUAUUUUUCUCUUACUUGGCAGUUAUAUUUGUUACUUUAUAUCCAAGUUAAAAAUCUAAAAUUGAUUUCCCGUGUGAAGUGAGUUUUAGCCAACCAUCUGCUCAGGAGAGGGGAAAGGCAGACAAAGCUCAUUCUUUCCUGCUGCUGCUUCUCACUGCUGUUAGGUGACUACUGGGAACCUUAAAAUAGGAUUGCCAGGUUUAACUUUUCAGAAUGCGGAGUAGGCAUAUGUGUCUACUAGGGAUUUGGGGCAGGGAGGGUUAUACUUAGACCAGUGGGACUAGCUAAAGUAUUAGGUACUGAUGUUGUUGAAUGCCAUAGAUGAGAACACAGAUGUUCCAAACAUGUUCUGCUUCCCAUCUCAAAUUCAUGAUUCAGCAAUAAAAAUGGGAUAAUCUUGAAUAUAUAGAUUGCCCAUGAGCCUAUGUCUACACUUGAAUGUUAUUAUAAUAACUGGUUUUCUUAAUCCAGUGGCUUUCAAUUUUGGGGAUGAAUAUGUCAGAGAAAUCUAGUUUUGGUGCAGGUGACAAAUUAAAGGAACACCUAGGGAUUAAGAGAUCAAGUCAGAGAUUGCAAUAAUGUCCAGAUGUAGAAAAUAUGAUAAAACUUACAGCAUUCAUGGUGAGCCCAAUUGUGGAAGAGAAUUCCUGGAAGUAUAGUUUGUUACCUUUGCAUUCCAAAAUGUGUUUUCAUAGGAAAAAAGCAGGGAGGAGAACAAUUAGUGCACAGCUAAAUAUGUAAAUAUAUUUGCUAUAUUUCAAUCUCUAGCAUUUGAAAUACAGCAAAUGCUUAAAUCAUGUUUGAAUGACCAUGCAAUUCAAAGUAAGGGAAAAUAAUGUUAAAGAUGUUUUUCCAUUGACAUAUAUUUUAAAUCUUACACCCUGCAUUUAUUUUAUUAUAUUUAUAAACAUUUAUGUUGGCUUCCUGGCUCCUUUUUUUCAUUUAUCAAAGUCUGUAUGAAUUCAAGCAUUAAAUCUCUCCGCCUCUACCCAAUCCAGUCCACACAUAGUCAUCCUUAUUUAAAUCUCUUCCUCUCUCUCGCUGCACUCUGAUUCUAUUUUUUUAUAUAUUCUUUCCAUUAUAUUGCCUAAUCCUGACAUAGGAAGCAUGUCUAUACUGUCUGCUUUACUUCACAGAAUCUCCUAAAUAUGUUUCUAUAGCCUUAGAAAUAGGAAUAUUUUUGUCCUUAUAUAUCAGUGCAGACUUUUUUUCUUCCCCAGAAAAAUCUUAAAAGCAAAAAUUUAUCAAGUGAAACAGAAACAGUAAUUUUGAUGCUGGAAAAUGUUUACUACCUAAUGCCAUUUAACUUAAGCCUAUUCAGUGAUUUCGUGUACGUGACUUCCAUAAUUACUAGUUGAAAAAAAAAGGCAGAAGACGAAAGGGACAAAAAGAGAGAGUGGGGGAAAGCAGUGAGGGAUGGGAAGAAGAGAAUAAUACAUGCAUUUGCAUUUCGUUAUUCAAGACUCAAAGCAAUUAGACUUUCAUAAGGAGCUAUCCAAAUGUUUGUAGUAGGUUCUACUAUUUAAUGAAAGUAAAACAAACUAAAACCAAAGACUGUAAUUAUGUUUAACAUUUCCAAUUUUUAAAGGAAUAUAAGCCAAAGUGUAUCCAUGUGUCUCCAUUAUUUUAGCUUCCUUACCUCCUGUUUAUGAAAAUGUAUAUCCAGAAACAAAUAGUUCUUUUAUGCUGCAUUUACUAACAUGGAAGUUCUGUAGUCCCUGUCGAGGAAUGGUGAAUGGAGACAAUUCCUCAGUAAUCAUAACAAAGUUCCUUCUGCUUCUCUACCCUUGAAAAGUGAUCCCUGCCAAUCAAACUUUGUUUCUAUUGAGGAUAUUUUCACUUGUAUUUUGCUUAAAAUCAGAAUUGUUUAUCUCGAUCACAUAAUUCACUAGUGAACCUGAUUUAUAUUCUCUAACAAUGUUUAAAAUACAGAAAUAUGAUAGACUACUUAAAUGAAGUUACAUUAUACUAUUAAAGGACAUGUAAUUUAAAGAUGUAAAGAGAGCCAUCAGAGGGAUUUUUUUCCAGUGGCUACAAAAAUAAAAAUUUGUUUUAUGCUAAACAAUCAGAGAUGUCAGAAAUACCAAAACUGAUGGAUUACAGCUCUUUAUGUUAAAUUAUCAACAUAAUAAGCUUUAAUGUUAAAAAUCAAUGAUAAUCCUAGAUCAUAUCUAAUACAUUGUAAUGAGUUAAACUCCAAGCAAUCUUCCUAUGAAUGUUGUAGAUGUCUCAAUGAGAUGUUUAAGUUAUGAUGCACUGAAAUGUUCUAAAUUAAGUUUUAUGCUCACAUGAAAAUUACAGCUACAGCAACAACAUUAAAAAACAAGAGCCCCCUUCUCAGGAUUUCCCCUGUGACUGCAAUGGGAUGAAUGCUGCCCAAGGCCAGGCCACACAAUUGGUUCUUCUCUGCUACAGAGUUAUAGAAUACAUUUAGAAUAACAAAGAAAGUCUCUCUAUUAGUGAGUCCAAACCUGUGUCCCUUAUUGAACACAGUAUUUAGCAUGCAAGAGUGAGCAUAGAUUAGAAGAAAGAGAUUCUGUCAGGGAGCAUUCCUAAUCCUCUUCCUGGAACAUUUUCUUCUCUCUCAGAUGUAUUUACGCUUGAACAUAUUUAUUGCUGCCUUUUUCAUUGCUUUGUUAGUAUUGCUAGCAUUUUAAACUUUGAAAAGUUUCCCAUCUCUGAGGAGAAAUGAUGAAAGUCAUUUAGUAGUAGGACAUUGCUCCAUUGGAAAGGUUUUACCCUCUAAUGCUUUUAAGUGUAUCUUUUAGGCUGUAAGUGAGAUAUGUGCCUUGUUUCUGAGAUGAACACAUAAACCCUGUUUUUCUAAGACACUGCUUUCUUUAGUUGCCUCUUGGGUGCUUCUUUCUAAACCACUGUAUAUGGUUUUGCUGAAUCAGAGAAAAUAGAAAUUUUUCUGUAGGUAAAAAAAUCUCUCAUAUGUAUUUGAAACAAAAAAUUGACAACAUCAGAGCAAAACAGGAUAAGGGAAUCUACAACUUACUGGCAUUUAUUAAGAUAAUAUGUAAGUAUUUUGCUGUCAUAAAUGCUUAUGGUUGUUUCCAUUAUUUGUUCUUGUUUUGUUUUUGCACCAUUCCAGGUGCUGAUGAUACAGUGGUAAAUGAAAACACCAGGUCAUCUUUAGAGAGUUUAAGUCCUAAGUAAUGCGGAGAUUAAGAAUAUAACAAUGUUUUUAAACAAACCAAACUGUGAACCUGAUUUGACAAGUUACAAGCCCCGUGAAGAUGAAUAUGUGUGGUAAAUUCUCUGAGUCACAAUGUUCUCAUGGGUAAAUAACAGAUAAUGAUUACUUUUUAAAGAUUAUGUUACAUAAUGAAAGGAAGGAGCCUACAUCAAGCCUAAAUGGGAAGCGAAUAGUAAAUACUAGUUGUCAGUAGUGCUUGAUGUAUGCUGAUAGCCUAACAGUGACAGGAGCAGUUUUUACAUUGACUGUGCACAUCACAGAUAUUGUCUCCAAAAUUCCCAGCAAUUCUGGAAGGUGUACGUACAGUCAUCUUGUUUCAUCGCUGAGGAAUCUGGGGCUUAGGGCAAGAGUCUAAUUAAAACUUGCCCAAGUCUCACAGCUGCUACUUGUCAGAACAAAGGUGAACCACAUUCAUCUGAUGCCAAAGCCCAUGUGUUUCUCCUGCAUUAAUCUGAUGCUUAAUCCAAGGCCAGCACUGCUUGGAGAAGCCAUUCUUCUCUUUUUUCCUAUCUGAGAGAGAAACAAAUUGUACCUUUUUCUAUUCACAAGCCUGCAUGCAAAAAGCAGCAAGACAGUCAGCUAACUUCUUCAUAAAUACAGCACUCUGGCAACAAAAUCACGGAACAUAUUUUAGCCAACUAAAAUAAUAAUACUAUUAAAAUAAUCUCUCUCCAGCAUCACCUCCUCCCUGACUCAUCCCAUUCCAAAUCAGUCCCUUUAUACAUAAUGUCUCCAUGUAAUUUAUCUUCCAAACUAGGGCAAUUGGAGGAGUAAAGCGGGGCACUAAUAAUAAUUGCUCUAGAUUAACCAUUAUAAACCAGCUCCAUCCUGGAGAGGCCAAGACAUACGGUCACCACAUUUAUAGGACUACAAGGCUUAAAUUAUGGUUAGAUUAGGCAUAUACUAAUGAUAACAAGGAGAAACAUUCUGUUCCCCUGUAUAUGAACACCUACACCUUUCCUUUUUAAAGCCAGAGUAAAAUCACUGCAUCAUUAAUGCAGCCUUUAGUUCAUGCUCAGUCACCCACUAUAGCAAUGUAAUAACAACAUCUAACUUUCCUUGCUCCUUCAGACCAAGGGGAGAUGAAUAACUGGCACCUUCUACUUAUAACAUUUAAAUAAUCUAUUUUAUGUUCAGAGGAUCUAUGGAUAAAAACAUUUUAUGUUGUCCUUGAAAUCCUUUGGUCAGUGCCCACAUGCACAACCUAUGUAUUUAGGAGGAAAUGUACUGUGUAAAAUGGUUUGUUCAAUCAUAGCUAAGUAUCUCUGCAAAGGAAGAUGUAUUUGUAAACUGUGCAAAUGCAAAUUUGGCUAUCACAGCAACCACCAGUUAUUUGCAACAGUUUCUUAUUGCAACCAACAUCUUGAAAACUGGCUUCUGGUUAAAUCUUUUACAUAAGCAUAAUAAAUAGAAGUGAAGAAGUGAUAAGCAGAGUGUUCAAUAAGAUAACUGAAACAAGGGGAGGUGGAGGAGAAGAAAGAAAAAAAUAGAGCAAAUGGAAAUAGACAAAAAGUAGCUAUCUGUAUUAUCUGUUCCUUUCAGAUUUUACUGAGUUUUAUCCAUUUAGGAUCAGUAAAUUUGCUUAAAUGCAAAUAUCAGCCCAUUUUUACCAGGUUUCUGUGAUGAAAACAAAUAUCAUUAAUUUUUUUAAAAACAAUUUUAUUGGAUAAAUAAAUGGAAGGAGGAUGGAUUAUAAAUCUGGUUUUACAGUAUUGUUAUAAGCAGAAAUGUUUCAUCAAUUCACAUUAAAAAUCACACAAAACUCAUAAGCGAAGUAGGUAUAUUUUAAUGUGAUAGAAACUUAACCUAUAAAGGAAAGGGGGGAAAAGGCAUGAAGAUAAAGAUGUGAGUAAAAAUAUUAAAAGAUUAUUUAGUUCUACCCUCCUUCCAAAAAAAUGCACUAAAACA